AGUCCGGUUACGUUCUCGAAAACCGCCGGUUUCAACAAUCACUCUUUAUCCUCUGCUACUAUAAAUACACCGGGGUCUGUAAGAGCAUUCAGAUUGGCCACACGUCGGGAGAUUGGCUUUUGGUGUAAUUAUAAACUCAUUGGGUAUAGGCCCGUCUAGACGAAAACGCCCGCCGUGUAGCAGGCAGAGGAAUCACUACUACUAAUACCGGUUAACCCUUGUAGUUUAUCAAGCCAAUCAUUCUGAUUUCAAGAAAGAAAAUCACUAGUCAUGUGCAUGUUAGAUCGUUCGUUGAGCCGUAUUGGUGCGCGAGAAGCUUAGAUAUCAUUUGCAAAAGACCUCUUAUAAAGAUAGCCUGUGUAACAAGCGAGAGAGGCUCGGAAGACCAUGCGAGUCUGGGGAAAAGUCGAAAUAGAAGACCCUUUUCUUUUCUCUUCGCCUUCUUCUCCGCGCGGCCAGCUCUUUAUCAUAGAGUUGGCUACAAAGACUAAAUAGAAAAGAACGCUUUUUGGUUGUCGGCCGCGAGUAUUGUGCACACUUUACUACCCUGGCUACCAAUGACAGCUUCACUACUAGCCAGCUAGCACUAGCUUCUUAUUUUCUAAGGGGUCCCUGGGGGGAGGGGCUAUCUUCGGCUGGCAUCUUGCGCCUGCGAUAGCUUAGGAGCCUGGCCUCUUGCACGUGCGUUCGUGUGAAAACAAGACAAGAAGCAAGAGGGGCGGCAGAGAAAACCCGCCUAAAAUAUCUACAAAAAAGUCAUGUUCAGAGCGAGCCAUGUACAACGACGCCCUCUCGCAUUUCCAAAGUUUUAUCAUCGGCAUUGGAGUAUCUUUCCUCGAACAAGGGUAAUUUAAAAGGUAGGAGCCACCAGAAAUGUCUAGAUAAUGACUUAACAGACCGUAAGGCUACGUGGGUUUUAUAAAUGUUUCCUUUAAGAUCUCCGAGUUUGAAUUCUCACGUGGCAGCCCGAGAUGUCGAUGCGCCAAGAAGUGUAAAGCAUUUUCGACACAACAGCAAACUUUGCUUUUACUGUAUGAUAUACUUACAUAUUGUAGAUAGUAGAUAGCAUAAACCAUAUUGCAAUAACAAACGCAAGUCUAAGUUUCUGAUAUUGGAAAAGAAAAAACACGUUGAACACUUACUUGGUUGUAAAGUUAUUAUCGUAAAAUCUCUAUUUCUUUUUCAAGUAACUUUCCUUUUACUGGUUCUGGUGGACAUUUGGGAUGACGCAAAUUCCUUGAAAUGCUAUGACUUUUGCCCCGUUGGGUUGGCUUCUUACAAGUAAUAAGGCUGUAGCCUACAGGGGAUAUAGCGGAAGUGGGUUCCACUUAUAAAUACGACAAGAAAGUUAAAUGUUUGCUAUUAUACUUGGCUCAGCCUUGUUGCCAAGUCUUUGAACGGCAUGACAAAUAGCAAGCUUAAUUUCCGCUGCGACACCAGAUGUCCUUUGUAGUUUCUUCCUCCAAAAGCAGCAAUUGUCAAUGCAUAUAUUUCUUGGACUUUGGCCUUUCGCUGAUUUAGACAUGGUUGAGUGCAAUAAGUAUGUUUUUUAUCUUUGCAUAUGAUUGAUUGAGAAAACACAAGUUGCCAUGUAAAAACCUCUACAUAACUUGCAAGAAGUGUGUCUUACUGUUUGAUCCACUUUCCAUCACACAAAAGGCUAACAUUUGCUAGCAACUUUGAAUGGAUGAUCGAUCACAUGGUAGCCAAUAAGCAGAUAGCUUUCUCAUUUCUGCAUUAAACAGAUGUUCUUGCAGUGUGAGCCAGAUGUUCUUUCAGUGUGAUUCCUGGUUAAAGAAACCACUCGCAGUUUUUGACAUUCUAAGUCAUGUUAAAUAAAGUGAACUAAACAAAAUUAAUUUUCUUUCUCAUCUUUUUGUUCCCUUUUUUCCUCCGAUAAACACGGAUUUAAUUUGCUUUUUUUCAUUUCGUUCUUUUAUUGCCCUUAUCACUGCUAAGGUAUUGGCAAUGGAGGGGGGGUGCCUACAUGGCUGAACCUUGUAGCCAAGCCAUGCCAAGUCUUUUUUAUUUCUGCAUUAAAAAGAUGUUCUUUCAGUGUGAACCCUGGCAAAAGAAACCACUUGCUGUUCUUUACAUUCUGAGCCUUGUUGAACUUCUCUGUCGCUUCUCAAACUUGUGCCUUGUAAGGCAUUUAAAAAGUGAUGAAAGGAAUAGGAAAAUAAAAUACCGCCUUUCUUGGUGAGAUAUUGUGUGACAUAUGGAAAAAAAGUAAUAGAUUAAAAUUUUCUCUGGCUUUGGAUAGAUUCAACUCUAAGACUAAGUGUCAAACAUAUAUCUGAUCAUCUAUCUGAAAUCAUAUAUCUAAAAAAUAUAUCUUGAAAUAUCUAAUUCACUAAACAGCUGUAAUUUCUGUGACAAUGUGACAACAUCAAUGUUUCUUGGUUUUUAAAAAUGUAAUAUAUUAUUAUUAUAUAUAAAUAAGUAUAUAUACAAACCCAAUAUACAAUGUGUUUGUCUUUGUGACAUUGCAGUUUAUUUGUUAAUGUAAAUAUGAGUAUAAAUCUAACUGUAACACAAGAAACUUGUUACAGUUCAAAACAACUUAGUAAAUAAACAGCAACAUAUGAGAGAAUAAUGCAUUCUGUUACAUUGCCCCAUCUGUGACCCGUUUGGAACCACCUCUAACUGUCUGACAUCCUGUACGACACACAUUGUUAUUACCCCCCUCAUCUCCUCCAUAACCUGUGAAUGGGGCUCACCCAGCCUUGUCAGUAAAUUGGGUUUGCCCAGCCUUGUUUAACCAUAGUACCUUCUAUAGCCCUUGUUUGAGUGAGAGCAUUAUUUGUUGUGUUACACAUAGCAUUUGUACAUCAGACGUUUGAUUGAAAUUUUUGUGUAUGCGAGUCACGUGCAAGAUGAGAUUGGGUGGGUUUCCGGAGAGUUCAGAGGUGAUGUGGUGUAAAUAAAAAUAUCUUUUUUCGUCAAAACUCAUUGUGCCUGUUGGAAUGGUUGUUUUUCUGUGGGACUGGAUGGCUGUCAUGGUUUUACAGUACAUGGGGUCAGUGAACACGUAUUGAAUUCCCUCAGUUCACUGCCUGAACGUUUGGUUAUUUCAGGCCUCAGACUGUUGGCUGCAUCCAAUUUGUCUGCCACCAUUUCUGAUCUUUUAAAUAGAAUUACCUACUUUGCAGGAUGGCUUUUCUACUUUCUCUCUUUUCUUUACCGCUUGACCCAUGCCGUGACUCAAUGGCUUUCCCAACUUACCAACGAACCCAUUGUCUCCUCCUUCACCUAGCCUUCGGGCUCGAGCUCCCUAGAAAGGUGAAUUCGUGCAGACACCUCUUUUCCCUUAAUAGCAGUGUUAUUACAGCCAAAAACAAUGCAAGUUGUAACCAUUUUGUGCUUUUAAAAGCGUGGGCAAACGCAGUAAAGGGUGAUAUCCCCUAAUGAUACCAUACGAGUCCUUUUAUUUGACUCUUCCUGUGACGUAACGUCCCCUGGUUUACUUAUGGUAAUAAGUGAAAUUAGUUUUAAUCGAGAGGGGCCUCUCGAGCGCGGGUCAAAUCGAGUGCGCAAUUUUGAAAUCUUCAUCUCUUGUGAAAUUCAUAAAAACUGAGGUUUUAACCAAAUAAAAAAAGGUUUUAGACUCCGAUCUCAUGAAGUACGAAGUAUUAAGUUUUAUUCAUCAAAAGUUAUUUUAAACUGGUAUAUUAUCUUUAAGCAUUGGAGAUCUUAGUCUGAAUUUUUUAGGGGGCUGAACCAAUCUAUAAAAUAUGGUGAAAAAAGAUAGUAAUGGGAGCAGUUGUUCGCAACUGUUAUUUGUAGUAGAGAAGAAUCAUGUCUGGCACUCACAGGGAUUUAAAAUACUCGGUAACGUUAGUGUCGCCAAACAGUGCUUUUAACACGGCCUUAACAAUUUCCUCCACAAAAGAACUGUUUGCAGUCUUGUGGGGAUCUCGUGGUCUUGCGAUGGUGUAGCGAUCGAGUCGAUGAUGCUUCUAGCUCAUUUGUUUGUGAUUUUUCUACACUGCAGAAAAAAAACCUAAGACACUAGUCGUCACAACACCAUUAAUGUUGUUGCGUCAAUAGCAUCUAUUGGGUCCUGGUUAUCAGGAAUAUCUUGGCCAAAGUGGGUUAGACGCACUCUGUAGUGGCCAAAGUUGGCUUGUGCCACUUGGUGAAGGAGCUGUAGAU